rnacentral:rRNA from 1 species
AGUGAACGCUGGCGGUAGGCCUAACACAUGCAAGUCGAACGGCAGCACAGUAAGAGCUUGCUCUUACGGGUGGCGAGUGGCGGACGGGUGAGGAAUACAUCGGAAUCUACUUUUUCGUGGGGGAUAACGUAGGGAAACUUACGCUAAUACCGCAUACGCCCUACGGGUGAAAGCAGGGGAUCUUCGGACCUUGCGCGAUUGAAUGCGCCGAUGUCGGAUUAGCUAGUUGGCGGGGUAAAGGCCCACCAAGGCGACGAUCCGUAGCUGGUCUGAGAGGAUGAUCGGCCACACUGGAACGGGGACACGGACCAGACUCCUACGGGAGGCAGCAGUGGGGAAUAUUGGACAAUGGGCGGAAGCCUGAUCCAGCCAUACCGCGUGGGUGAAGAAGGCCUUCGGGUUGUAAAGCCCUUUUGUUGGGAAAGAACAGCAGCAGGUUAAUACCCAGCUGUUCUGACGGUACCCAAAGAAUAAGCACCGGCUAACUUCGUG